UACGAAGGGUGCAAGCGUUACUCGGAAUUACUGGGCGUAAAGCGUGCGUAGGUGGUUCGUUAAGUCUGUCGUGAAAGCCCCGGGCUCAACCUGGGAACUGCAUCUGUGACUGCAUCGCUGGAGUGCGGCAGAGGGGGAUGGAAUUCCGCGUGUAGCAGUGAAAUGCGUAGAUAUGCGGAGGAACACCGAUGGCGAAGGCAGCCUCCUGGGCCAACACUGACGCUCAUGCACGAAAGCGUGGGGAGCAAACAGG
rnacentral:rRNA from 1 species